UUCUUGAAACUCAAAGAAUUUGGCGGUGUUUUAGUCUAUUCAGAGGAAUCUGUCCCGUAAUCGAUAAUUCACGAAUUAUUAUACUUAAUUUUGUAAGAUCAACUUGUAUACCGCCGUCAUCAGAUUAUUUUUUUAGAAUUAAAAUUUUCUAAAUAUUUGAUUGAAUUAAAUGUCAGGUCAAGGUGCAGUUUAUAAUUAAGAGGAGAUGGAUUACAAUAAAAUAAUAUUUAUACGGAUUUUAUUAAUGAAAAAUUAAUUGAAGGUGGAUUUGAUAGUAAAUUUGUUUUAGCAGGUUGAUUAUAGCUCUAGAACAUGUACACAUCGCCCGUCGCUCUCGUUAUUAAGGCGAGAUAAGUCGUAACAUAGUAGAUGUACUGGAAAGUGUAUCUAGAAAGUAAUA
rnacentral:rRNA from 1 species